UACGUAGGGUGCAAGCGUUGUCCGGAAUUAUUGGGCGUAAAGAGCUCGUAGGCGGUUUGUCGCGUCUGCUGUGAAAAUCCAGGGCUUAACCCUGGACCUGCAGUGGGUACGGGCAGACUAGAGUGCGGUAGGGGAGAUCGGAAUUCCUGGUGUAGCGGUGAAAUGCGCAGAUAUCGGGAGGAACACCAGUGGCGAAGGCGACUACCUGGCCUGUUCUUGACGCUGAGGCGCGAAAGCUAGGGUAGCAAACGGG
rnacentral:rRNA from 1 species